AAUCAACGCUGGCGGCGUGCCUCAGACAUGCAAGUCGAACGAUUAAAGCUCUCUUCGGAGAGUGUAUAGAGUGGCGCACGGGUGAGUAACACGUAAGUAAUCUACCUUCGAGUGGGGAAUAACGUCCGGAAACGGACGCUAAUACCGCAUAAUGCAGCGGCAUCGCAAGAUGACAGUUGUUAAAGAUUUAUCGCUUGAAGAGGAGCUUGCGGCAGAUUAGCUAGUUGGUAAGGUAAUGGCUUACCAAGGCUACGAUCUGUAACCGGUCUAAGAGGACGGUCGGUCACACUGACACUGAAUAACGGGUCAGACUCCUACGGGAGGCAGCAGUCGGGAAUUUUGGGCAAUGGGCGAAAGCCUGACCCAGCAACGCCGCGUGAAGGAUGAAGUAUUUCGGUAUGUAAACUUCGAAAGAAUAGGAAGAAUAAAUGACGGUACUACUUAUAAGGUCCGGCUAACUACGUGCCAGCAGCCGCAGUAACAC
rnacentral:rRNA from 1 species